rnacentral:rRNA from 1 species
GGUAGUGUAGUUAACACCUGCAUUAUUUGACGUUACCUACAGAAGAAGCACCGGCUAACUCCGUGCCAGCAGCCGCGGUAAUACGGAGGGUGCGAGCGUUAAUCGGAAUUACUGGGCGUAAAGACGCAUGCAGGCGGCCUGUUAAGUCAGAUGUGAAAGCCCGGGGCGUUAACCUCGGAAUUGCAUUUGAAACUAGGCAGGCUAGAGUCUUGUAGAGGGGGGUAGGAAGUUUACUAGGUGUAGCGGUGAAAUAGCGUAGAGAUCUGAAGGAAUACCAGUGGCGAAGGCGGCCCCCUCGGACAAAGACUGACGCUCAGAUGCGAAAGCGUGGGGAGCAAACAGGAUUAGAUACCCUGGUAG